UGGUCUGGCAUCGAUGAAGAACGCAGCGAAAUGCGAUAAGUAAUGUGAAUUGCAGAAUUCAACGGAUCAUCGAAUCUUUGAACGCAUAUUGCGCCCAUUGGUAUUCCGAUGGGCAUGCCUGUUCGAGCGUCAUUUCAACCCUCAAGCAAACCUUUUGCUUGGUGAUGGAGCUCUCUAUAGCGCUUAGCCAUAGGCUCCGAAAAACAUUGGCGGUUUUUCAGCAAAUCCGAACGUAGUAAAUUACUUUUCGUUUAAGGAAUUACUGAGAUAUCUAGCCACUAAAACCCCUACUAUUUUUAAAGUUGACCUCGGAUCAGGUAGGAAUACCCGCUGA
rnacentral:misc_RNA from 1 species